CCUGGAUUGAAACACCGAUUCCCAUAUGAUCACCAAAGUUAACCAAAAUCAAGCCUGGUCAGUACCUAGAUGGGUGACCACUUGUGAAUAACUGGUGCU